rnacentral:tRNA from 1 species
AAGGCUUUAAGUUAAUAAAACUAAUAGCCUUCAAAGCUAUAAAUAUAAGAAUAUAACCUUUUAAGCCUUA